UCUCUUCCAAAGCUGCACACUCUGUUGAGGAGGAUGAGUUUCCCCAAUACAGGAAAAUGAUCCUUCCAUAAGGGUAUACAUGUAGCAGCACUCCCUUGCUAAAUGCUCCAAACAAGUCUUCAAAGAACACAAGAAAAAGCCUGCGAAAGAUAGUGU
rnacentral:sRNA from 1 species